rnacentral:rRNA from 1 species
UACGUAGGGGGCAAGCGUUGUCCGGAUUUACUGGGCGUAAAGGGCGUGCAGGCGGUCUGUUAAGUGCAGGGUGAAAGCUCCCGGCUCAACUGGGAGAGGUCCUUGCAUACUGUCGAUCUCGAGUCCGGGAGAGGUGAGUGGAACUGCGAGUGUAGAGGUGAAAUUCGUAGAUAUUCGCAAGAACACCAGUGGCGAAGGCGGCUCACUGGCCCGGUACUGACGCUGAGGUGCGAAAGCGUGGGGAGCAAACAGG